rnacentral:lncRNA from 10 species
GGGAUGGAGUGAAACAGAUAGCCCUGUGGCCACCACAUCUAUGACUGCACUGGGUCAGACCUGAAGCCAGCACAGCACUGGGUCUUGUCCAAGUCCUGCUGUUACCAUUCCCUGGCUACUGCCUAUGUUCACUCAGUUCCCAGGUUCUCUACCCCCACUAUGGCUGUGCUCGUGCCUAAGGUGCAAAACAAAGCCCCCUUUACAUUUUCCUCUCUUUUUCUCUAACAGAAGGAGUUUCACCCCAUAGCCACAACAGCUAGUAAUGUUCUGAGUUUCACCUGAAGCCAGCAAGUCUCAGAGGCUCACCCAAGACCCUGGAUGUAGGACCUGGGUAUCGGUUCUGAUUAAGACCGAAGAGUUCUUCAGUUAGCAGAUACAGCAUGCUUGGAAAUGUGGAAAAUGAUCUGGAAGGGGAGAAAAGAGGGCAGAGAGACCUUUUCAGAAGUUGGUGUGAUGUUCCAUGCAAGUAAUGGUGAGGACUUGAAUUGGGGUAGAAGCACGACCACAAAAUAGCCUGCUAACAACUGUGUAAACACUGAACCACAACAGCACUGGACCAUGUGGUUGAUUCCCCAAGAGGUGUGGAAUUAUAACUCCACCUCCCACAAU